rnacentral:tmRNA from 1 species
GACUAUGGCGAUAAACGCGCUCGUAAUAAGCGGCUCGGACCCGGGGGCGGUACCCGGCGGCUCCACCAACAUCCUUCGUUUGGGGAUCAUGGGGCCGAAAUAGGAUCGACGGACGUGUAAAAGGGUUAGCUUUCGCUCGGCAGGAUGCCACCGUUAUCGGCUCAAACUCGAUAGUUGCAAAUGACAACCGAGUGCCGGCAGCUCUCGCCGCUUAAUGCGGUGCGAAAAGCCGAAAUCUAAGCCCUUAUCUCUCACAAGAUAAGGCGGGGUUCGCAGGCACCUGGCAACAGAAGCCUG